AGAUAAUAGAUACCCUGGUAGUCCUAGCCGUAAACGAUGGGCACUGGGUAGGGGCGUCGCCGAUGGGCGUCUCUGCCGUAGGGAAAAACCGGUAGAAGUGCCCCGCCUGGGGAGUAUGGUCGCAAGGCUGAAACUACAAAGGAAUUGACGGGGGCGUCACACAAGCGGUGGAGCAUGUGGCUUAAUUCGAGGCUACGCGAAGAACCUUAUCCUGGGCGUUGACAUGCAGGGAUUAGGGUGCGGAAACGCAUCUGACGCCGCAAGGUGGAACCUGUACAGGUGCUGCAUGGCUGUCGUCAGCUCGUGCCGUGAGGUGUUUGGGCUAAGUCCCGUAACGAGCGAAACCCCGUGUGACUAGUUGCCAGCACGUAACGGUGGGACUCUAGUCAGACCGCCGGCGUCAAGCCGGAGGAAGGCGGGGUACGACGUCAAGUCAUCAU
rnacentral:rRNA from 1 species